AUGAGAUCUAGCCAAACCGACAGCCACAAGGAUCGACCGAUCGACCGACCGAGCGUGGAAACGAACAAAGUGGCUAGGCAUGCAAUGCAGGGAGUGCACGAUAGCUCCAUGCUGAUGCUAAUUUUCUCUGCUACAUCCAACGCCACAGAUAUCCAAACCGAAGAUGGGAGGGAGAAGAGAACAAGUGGAAAUACGUGCAAAAAAGCUACUAUUACGCCAGGAAAUGAGAGAAAGCAACAACAAAAAAAGGCGUUGGAAAAUGCAUGUCGAGCUUUGCCAGCUACGCGCGGCAGGCAUCUUACCUUAAACCCCCAGUGCGCAGAGGCAUAG
rnacentral:rRNA from 1 species